CCGAUAUCCCGCAUUUUUUGUGACAUUGUGAACAGUUUUCAUUAUUGCAGUAUCUGCAGUUCAUUUGUUCUUUAAUCUUUUACUGUAAGUUAUGUUUUUCAUGCUUUUGAGUUGCAGUUGCAGAUAGACAAGGCCACAGAAACAGUCUAUAUCAAGGGCAAUAUUUUUUGGAACAGAAUUCAAAUCUGCUUUUGGUAUACCUCAAGCGCACCCAUUAUUGUUUGUCAGUGGGGAAGGGAAAUUGCAAAGUUUGGGUGGCAAAGCACUUUUUUGUCAAGCUCAGUCCACAUAAAGAGGUUAUCACAGGCUCUAAAUCUUUCUCACAAUCAUUACUACCAAGGUGAAGCUACGAACACUGCUCGCUUUCCAAGUCUAAAUGUUUACUUGAGGUGGAGAAGCAUCCCAGAACACGACUUCAACAUUGACUGCCAUCACAGCAGUCACCUCACUCUGCACCACCAUUUUUGGAGUCCAGGAGAACCAGAUUUCCUCUUCAUUUAUGCCACGUGCACCUUAAAGAAAUAAAUUCUUUAAGAAGCUGA